rnacentral:rRNA from 1 species
CGGCGGACGGGUGAGUAAUGCCUAGGAAUCUGCCUGGUAGUGGGGGAUAACGUUCGGAAACGAACGCUAAUACCGCAUACGUCCUACGGGAGAAAGCAGGGGACCUUCGGGCCUUGCGCUAUCAGAUGAGCCUAGGUCGGAUUAGCUAGUUGGUGAGGUAAUGGCUCACCAAGGCGACGAUCCGUAACUGGUCUGAGAGGAUGAUCAGUCACACUGGAACUGAGACACGGUCCAGACUCCUACGGGAGGCAGCAGUGGGGAAUAUUGGACAAUGGGCGAAAGCCUGAUCCAGCCAUGCCGCGUGUGUGAAGAAGGUCUUCGGAUUGUAAAGCACUUUAAGUUGGGGAGGAAGGGCAGUUACCUAAUACGUGAUUGUUUUGACGUUACCGACAGAAUAAGCACCGGCUAACUCUGUGCCAGCAGCCGCGGUAAUACAGAGGGGUGCAAGCGUUAAUCGGGAAUUACUGGGCGUAAAGCGCGCGUAAGUGGUUUGUUAAGUUGGAUGUGAAAUUCCCGGGCUCAACCUGGGAACUGCAUUCAAACUGACUGACUAGAGUAUGGUAAGAGGGUGGUGGAAUUUCCUGUGUAG